AAAUAAGAAGCAAUUUUGCAUUUAAUUUCGACUUAAAAGAUAGGGUAAGACACCUCUUAUUUA
rnacentral:tRNA from 1 species